rnacentral:rRNA from 1 species
UUUUUUUUGUUUUUUUGUUUUAUGUUUUUUUUUGUAAAAUAUUUAAAUUUAUUUAUGUUUUUUUGUAAUAUUGAAAAUUUGGUGUUUGAACUGGAUUAGUACCCAGGUAAUCAAAAUUUAUUAAUUCGGGAGUAAAGUUUUGUUUAAACCGAAAAAAUAUUGACUGACUUUAGAUUUUUCUUUGGAAUAUGUGUUUUUUUGGAGAGCCCUCUUUUAUAGUGAAUUUUGUUGGCGCAUGUAUGAUUGUUUAGUUUUUACUUUUUUGGUAAUGCUUUGUGUUUUAUACAUUUAAAACAGAUAUAUAUUUGGCUUAUGGAUUUAUUUUUCAUGUGUUACUAUUGUUAAUUUUCUUUGGAUUAAUUUUUAAUUUUUUUGUUGAAAUUGGAAAAGAAAGUAAU